rnacentral:rRNA from 1 species
AAAACAGCCCUACGGGAGGCAGCAGUCGAGAAUUUUUCACAAUGGGGGAAACCCUGAUGGAGCGACGCCGCGUGGAGGAUGAAGGCCCUUUGGUCGUAAACUCCUGUCAUGCGAGAACAAGAAAGUGAUAGUAUCGCAAGAGGAAGAGGCGGCUAACUCUGUGCCAGCAGCCGCGGUAAUACAGAGGCCUCAAGCGUUGUUCGGAUUCAUUGGGCGUAAAGGGUGCGUAGGUGGCUUGUUAAGUUGAAGGUGAAAUCUCGGAGCUCAACUCCGAAACUGCCUUCAAUACUGGCGAGCUCGAGGACUGUAGAGGAGAAUGGAAUUCACGGUGUAGCAGUGA